rnacentral:lncRNA from 1 species
AAAUUGCCAGAAUAGGGAUUACAAAUUAAAGGGUUCUGAGAAUAAAAACUGCCAAAUCUCUCUCCAAGGUUAUGUGUCAUAUUCAAUGUCAUCAAUAUAUUCAAUGUAUUUUUAAAACAUUUUAUGCAAACAUAUAUAAAAAUGAAGCAAACAGUAGAAGGAGUCCCUGUGAUCACCAACCGUUAGCAAGAUGGACAGUAUUGUUUCAUUUAUACCUAAUCCCCUGGAUUGUUUGGCAUCAAAUACUAAACAUAAUGCUGUUUCACCAGUACGUAAAUUAAAUAUAUUUAAAGCAUUUUUUGUUAAGAGAAAGUUACUGUCUACUUUUACAAGGAGACCAUCUAUAUUAGAAAGUUGUUCAUAUUUGUUUCAAAGUGUGAUCUGGAGCUUCAGGAAAGUGGUUAAUGAAUUCCUGUAAUAGUGCUUAAGUUAACCAUGCAAAACCGAGCAGCUGGUCACCCCUGCUGGGCAACACUGCCCCCCCCACCCCAAGUCCAUGUUUGUCUUCUCCAUUUCCAUUUCUCCCCAAAUCCAGGGGCCCCUGGAGUCUUGUUAAUGCUGCCUUGAGAGGCCCUCAGUCCUGUUUCCUCCUCUCUGUGGCUGUGGUCUGGCUCUCAUGGUUGUUUGCCUGCACCACCUCCACAGCCUCCUCACUAGCUUCUCUGCUUCAAGAUUGCUCUGUUGCCAACCUUCC